GCAGGCCGUGCGUGGGUGAAGCUCACAGUGGGCCCAGCCUGGCGGCGGCAUCUAGCCUCCUAUGAUCACCUGGCCGCAAGCUGGCAGACACUUACACACAGGCACACACACCCUUCGCUGCUCGCGCAGACUGGCCUGCUCUGCCGGAAGGGACACCAUUCAUUAUUGGGGUCAAAGGCCUUGGUUUGGGCCAGUCCCAGGCCACAGAGAACAGGGGCUCUUACAAGACCAGGGACUCAGUUACUCUGAGAAAUCCGGCUCCUGAUCGCCUCUAGGACUAAAAGCUGCCCUGUUACUGUUGAAGACCUUAUCACCCACCACGGACCUGGAUCAGACAUCUCUUCUGACGUCUCAAAACUGGCUAUCAGCUUGUAUAUCCUUUCAGCAUGUCAAAGGGCUGUCUACUCUGCCUGACCAAUGUGGAGCCCACCGUGAGCAGCCCAUUUCAGAGACAGUUUUUGUCUUAGUCCAGAAAGAAUUAUUAAGAAGUGAACGUCUAACAUGGCUUUAGCAGACAAGAGACUUGAGAACUUACAGAUCUACAGAGUUCUUCAGUGUGUUCGCAACAAAGACAAGAAGCAGAUAGAGAAGCUGACCAAACUUGGAUACCCUGAGCUGAUCAACUUCACUGAACCUGUUGAUGGACUGAGUGCUCUCCACUUAGCCUCGGUUUCCAAUGACCUUGACAUGGUUAGCUUUCUCCUUGGACUUGGUGCUCACCCUGAUGUGCAAGACCACAUGGGCUGCACUCCGACCAUGAGGGCUGCGGAGCUGGGCCAUGAGUUGUCCAUGGAAAUUUUAGCCAAAGCCAAAGCUGACAUGACGAUCGUUGAUAAUGAAGGCAAAGGUGUUUUGUUUUACUGCAUUUUACCCACCAAGCGGCAUUAUCGCUGUGCGCUGAUUGCCUUGGAACACGGUGCAGAUGUCAACAACCUCACCUACGAAGGAAAGCCAGUUUUCCUCAAAGCUUGUGAACAAGCGCAUGAUGUGAAGGAUAUGUGCCUGACAUUCUUGGAGAAAGGAGCCAAUCCUAAUGCUAUCAACUCAUCUACAGGGCGCACUGCUCUGAUGGAAGCAUCAAGAGAAGGGGUGCUGGAAAUAGUUCGAGGCAUAUUGGAAAGAGGAGGUGAAGUGAAUGCAUUUGACAAUGAUAGACACCACGCUGCGCAUUUUGCUGCCAAAGGAGGCUUUUUUGAUAUAUUGAAGCUUCUCUUUGCCUACAAUGGAGACAUGGGGCUGAUUGCAAUGAACGGGAAUACACCACUUCAUUAUGCUGCGAUGGGUGGCUUUGCAGACUGCUGUAAAUACGUAGCUCAGCGAGGAUGUGACCUAAAAUGGAAAAAUUUGGAACAUAAAACACCCCGGGCUGUGGCAAAAGAUGGAGGCUUCAAAGCUGCAGGCAAGGAGAUCCGCAGAGCAGAGAGGACUGCAGCGAAGCUCGCAAAGCCUGGAGUCAAAAACCCUAACCCACUCUGGGCCCUCAGGCUGCACGACUGGUCCGCGGAGCACGAGGCUUUCCUUCGGGAUGCCUUUGCCUUCGUGGACAGGGGCGAUGGCGUAGUCAGCAAAGAGGACUUUGUGGUGACCCUGGAGGAGAGGCAAGACUUUGCCACCUCUGAGCAGUUGCUUUCCAUUGCGCAAAUGCACGAAAAAAGCCGGGGAGGCGGGGUCAACAUUAACGAGUUCUUUAAGGGAACCAAAUACUUAAGUAAGUCUUAUGUCUUGGGAUCUUUCGGGCCUAAGAAAAAGAGAAAGGGUUUGGGCAAAAAGCCAAAGAAAGGCAAAUUUGUUCUGCCUCUCCCGAUCUGCACCAUCCCGGAGAACGCCUUUCCGAGGCGGACAGACGGGGGCCCGCCCUACUACAUGAUUGAGGCCUACCAGAACGUCACCGACAGCAGCAGGUUCAACCGGGACCACCCUCCUGAGCACCCCAUCCAGGACGAUUCCGAGUGGUACAUCGAUGAUCCGGGGAAGGUCUUCGCAAAUAUUAAUUUUAUCACCAAGGCAGGAGACCUGGCCUCUCUGAAAAAGGCUUUCGAGGCAGGAAUACCUGUGGAUAUGAAGGAUAGUUCUUACAAGACGCCGCUCAUGACAGCGUGUGCCAGUGGCAACAUGGAUGUGGUCAAGUUUCUUCUUGAAAAGGGGGCGAAUGUUAAUGCAACAGAUAAUUUUCUGUGGACUCCACUUCAUUUCGCAUGCCAUGCUGGCCAGCAAGACAUUGUUGAACUACUUGUUAAAUCUGGGGCUACGAUAGAUGCUCUGUCAAUCAACAACUCCACUCCUUUAAGUAGAGCCAUCGAAAGCUGUAGACUGGACACUGUAAAAUACCUGCUUGAUAUUGGCGCUAAAUUCCAGAUUGAAAACAGAAAAGGGCAUGUUGCUAUGGAUGUUGCAAAGGCAUAUGCUGAUUAUAGAAUAAUUGAUAUGAUAAAAGAAAAGAUAGAUAACCUACCUAAACCGACAGAUAAUCAAAAAAUGAAAGGCAAGCUUCCUAAACUGAAGACCGAAGGCACAGACAUCAAGAAAGAUGAGGAAACACUGUCAUCAAUUUAUGCUGUACCAACAAUAAUAGAGGAAAAGAAAGUACACAAGGAUAAUGUGGUCUACCUCAAUUCACUGAUUACCAGUGGUUUCACGAAGAAGGUCGAUAUCACAUUUAUCCCACAUAGGAUUUGGAGUCCUGAAGCCACCACAGCAGAGCUGAUCAGGAAGAGGGAACUGCGAAGGGAGAGAUUCACAUAUGAGGUCGACUUCGAAGACUUCAUGAUGCCUUUCCAGAAGAACAUCAAGGAGAAAGCUCAAGCGAUGGAGGCGUCCUUGAAGUUCUAAGUCACAACAGUUACCUCCUGGGGUUAGUGCUUUGUGGCCCAGAGUCCACAGUUUGGAGAAAGUCAGACUUUGAAGAGGAACUGGUACACAAGGCUGAUUCCCUUAGAUUACAGUGACUAACCCAAUGAUUUGAAAUACUCCUCUGUUUCCCGAAAACUGAGAUGAUAUUAUGGUCUUGGUUCCUGAGGCUUUGGUAUCAUGCUCUCACCUAAAGAAAUGGGAAGUGAAAAAUAGAACUUUCCUCAUAGGCAUUAGUGAAAUCAACAUAUAAAAUAAAACAAGCAAUACACAAA